rnacentral:rRNA from 1 species
UACAUGGGGUGCAAACGUUGCUCGGAAUUAUUGGGCGUAAAGCGCGCGUAGGCGGUUACUCAAGUCGGAUGUGAAAGCCCUCGGCUUAACUGAGGAAGUGCACCCGAAACUGAGUAGCUAGAGUACUAAAGAGGGUCGCGGAAUUCCAGGUGUAGCGGUGAAAUGCGUAGAUAUCUGGAGGAACACCGGUGGCGAAGGCGGCAUCCUGGACCAACACUGACGCUGAGGAGCGAAAGCCAGGGGAGCAAACGGG